rnacentral:rRNA from 1 species
AUUGAACGCUGGCGGCAGGCCUAGCACAUGCAAGUCGAGCGGAUGAAGGGAGCUUGCUCCUGGAUUCAGCGGCGGACGGGUGAGUAAUGCCUAGGAAUCUGCCUGGUAGUGGGGGAUAGCGUCCGGAAACGGGCGCUAAUACCGCAUACGUCCUGAGGGAGAAAGUGGGGGAUCUUCGGACCUCACGCUAUCAGAUGAGCCUAGGUCGGAUUAGCUAGUUGGUGGGGUAAAGGCCUACCAAGGCGACGAUCCGUAACUGGUCUGAGAGGAUGAUCAGUCACACUGGAACUGAGACACGGUCCAGACUCCUACGGGAGGCAGCAGUGGGGAAUAUUGGACAAUGGGCGAAAGCCUGAUCCAGCCAUGCCGCGUGUGUGAAGAAGGUCUUCGGAUUGUAAAGCACUUUAAGUUGGGAGGAAGGGCAGUAAGUUAAUACCUUGCUGUUUUGACGUUACCAACAGAAUAAGCACCGGCUAACUUCGUG